GGGUUGAAAUUCCUGUACUGCUUAUGGACAGAACUGUGGGGACGCAGAAGGAGAGCACGAGCCGGAAAUGGAAAAGCCGGUACAAGCGUAUAGCAGUCAUGCAGGCAAAACCGCAUGAAAAAUGUAAAGCGUUAUGUGGAUCGAACAUUAGUAGAGAAGCGUGUGAGCCAGCUGCCAAGAAAAGCCGCUAUUGUUUCAUAAGUACCCGUACCGUAAACCGACACAGGUGGAUGAGGAGAGAAUCCUAAGGCCGGCGGGAGAAGUGUUGUUAAGGAACUCGGCAAAAUGACUCCGUAACUUCGGGAGAAGGAGUGCCACAGAGAUGUGGCCGCAGAGAAAUGGCUCAAGCAACUGUUUAGCAAAAACACAGGUCUAUGCAAAACUGAAAGGUGAGGUAUAUGGGCUGACGCCUGCCCGGUGCUGGAAGGUUAGGAGGAGAGGUUAGAGCAAUCGAAGCUUUGAAUUUAAGCCCCAGUAAACGGCGGCCGUAACGAUAACGGUCCUAAGGUAGCGAAAUUCCUUGUCGGGUAAGUUCCGACCCGCACGAAAGGCGUAAUGAUUUGGGCACUGUCUCAACAACACACCCGGUGAAAUUGAAAUACCAGUGAAGGUGCUGGUUACCUGCGCCAGGACGGAAAGACCCCAUGGAGCUUUACUCCAGUUUGAUACUGGGAUUCGGUACUGUCUGUACAGGAUAGGUGGGAGGCUAGGAAAUGGUGACGCCAGUUGCCAUGGAGCCAACCCUGGGAUACCACCCUUACAGUACUGGGUUUCUAACCUGCAGCCGUAACCCGGCUGGGGGACAAUGUCUGACGGGGAGUUUGACUGGGGCGGUCGCCUCCGAAAGAGUAUCGGAGGCGCUCAAAGGUUCCCUCAGAACGGUUGGAAACCGUUCGAAGAGUGCAAAGGCAGAAGGGAGCUUGACUGCGACACCGACGGGUGGAGCAGAUACGAAAGUAGGACUUAGUGAUCCGGUGGUAUAAAGUGGGAUUGCCAUCGCUCAACGGAUAAAAGCUACCCAGGGGAUAACAGGCUUAUCACUCCCAAGAGUUCACAUCGACGGAGUGGUUUGGCACCUCGAUGUCGGCUCAUCGCAUCCUGGAGCUGUAGCAGGUUCCAAGGGUUGGGCUGUUCGCCCAUUAAAGCGGUACGCGGGCUGGGUUCAGAACGUCGUGAGACAGUUCGGUCCCUAUCCGGCGUGGGCGUAGGAUAUUUGAGAGGAGCUGUCCUUAGUACGAGAGGACCGGGAUGGACAAACCUCUGGUGUAUCUGUUGUUUUACCAAAGGCAUGGCAGAGUAGCCAAGUUUGGCAGGGAUAAACGCUGAAGGCAUCUAAGCGUGAAGCCCCCCUCAAGAUAAGAUAUCCCAUCUUCGGAGUAAGACCCCUUGAAGACUACAAGGUUGAUAGGCUUCAGGUGUAAGUGUGGUAACGCACUCAGCUGAGAAGUACUAAUAGGUCGAGGACUUACC
rnacentral:rRNA from 1 species